rnacentral:rRNA from 1 species
AGCACCACAACAGGGUGGAGUCCUCGUCGGUUUUAAUACGGACUACAACGCCGGGAAACUCACCAGAUAAGACAGCUGAAUGAUAGUCGGGCUGAAGACUCUACUUGACUAGCUGAGAGGAGGUGCAUGGCCGUCGUCAGUUCGUACUGUGAAGCAUCCUGUUAAGUCAGGCAACGAGCGAGACCCACGCCAACAGUUGCCAGCUCGUCCUCCGGGAUGGUGGGGACACUGUUGGGACCGCCUCUGCUAAAGAGGAGGAAGGAAUGGGCAACGGUAGGUCAGCAUGCCCCGAAUUAUCUGGGCUACACGCGGGCUACAAUGGGUGGGACAAUGGGUAUCGACACCGAAAGGUGAAGGCAAUCUCCUAAACCCAUCCGUAGUUCGGAUUGUGGGCUGCAACUCGCCCACAUGAAGCUGGAAUCUGUAGUAAUCGUGUCUCAAAAUGGCACGGUGAAUAUGUCCCCUGCUCCUU